UACGUAGGGUGCGAGCGUUGUCCGGAAUUACUGGGCGUAAAGAGCUCGUAGGUGGUUUGUCGCGUUGUUCGUGAAAACCUGAGGCUUAACCUUGGGCCUGCGGCCGAUACGGGCAGACUUGAGUUCGGUAGGGGAGACUGGAAUUCCUGGUGUAGCGGUGAAAUGCGCAGAUAUCAGGAGGAACACCGGUGGCGAAGGCGGGUCUCUGGGCCGAUACUGACGCUGAGGAGCGAAAGCGUGGGGAGCGAACAGG
rnacentral:rRNA from 1 species